UUUGGGUGGCUGAUAAUAGCAUUAGACUUUUAAUCUAACUCAUGAUAGACACCUAACCCUAUCCCCGGCA
rnacentral:tRNA from 1 species